GGAGAAAUGUCCGAGAGGCCGAAGGAGCAUGCCUGGAAAGUAUGUGUGCGGGAAACCGUACCGAGGGUUCGAAUCCCUCUUUCUCCG
rnacentral:tRNA from 1 species